rnacentral:rRNA from 1 species
UCCUACGGGGGGCAGCAGUAGGGAAUUUUCGUCAACGGGCGCAAGCCUGAACGAGCAAUGCCGCGUGAACGAGGAAGGUCUUCGGAUCGUAAAGUUCUGUUGAAGGGGAAAAAGAGCGGAGAGAGGAAAUGGUCUCCGAUUGAUAUUACCCUUCGAGGAAGUCACGGCUAACUACGUGCCAGCAGCCGCGGUAAUACGUAGGUGGCGAGCGUUAUCCGGAAUGAUUGGGCGUAAAGGGUGCGUAGGCGGCCUGCUAAGUCUGGAGUGAAAGGUACCGGCUCAACCGGUACAGGCUCUGGAAACUG